CAAUCUUCUAUUCUAGGUCAGGUUUUGUUUAUUAAGGAACACACCCAGCUCUUACUUCUAGUUCCCCACCCAAACACAACACUGGAUCCGGCCCUGACUCCUGCUCAUGUUGCUGAAACACUUCUUGAUCAUUUUAAGGAACAGUUCAAACUUUCACGAAACAGAUUAUAACAAACUGAGAAGUGCUGAGAGUCACAGCCAGGUGAGCUGUAAGGGUUACAAUGAAAAACUGAUGGCCUGUCAUGCUUCUGUCUUCAACUGUCACUCAAAGAUUCAAAGAAUGCAGGGGAAUCUCUGCAUACCAGGAAGAAGCUGAAAAACAGGAUCUCAGGGCUCAGCUCCGAAACACUUCCAUCACUCUGACUCCACCUUUCUCAGAAUCCAUUCAUAGAGAGCAGCUGAAGGCAUCCACCCACCCGCAUACACCUGGUCAUCUGUGUGAAAUGCCUGCUGUAGCGUCUGUGUCUCUCUGCUGGACUUUACUGUCUGUCUGCCUCCUACUCGUCUCUGCAGACCAGAAAAACAUCACAGCUGAGUCUGGACAGGACAUCACUCUACCAUGUCAAGCUCCAAACAACAAAACCAUCAAAGGCGUUGAGUGGAUCCAACCUGAACUAGAGCAAGAACGUGUCCUUUUUCACUGGGAUGAAAAAGUUAUUCCAAGCAACCAGCAUCCAUCUUUUAAGAACCGGGUGGAUCUGCAAGACAGACAGAUGAAGGAUGGAGACGUGUCUUUGAUUCUGAAGGAUGUGACGGUUAAUGACACUGGAACAUACGAGUGUCGUGUCCUUGUGAGGGGAGGGAACCGCAGGAAGAGAGCUAAUCUGGGUGGUGAACCCAUCAGCAUCAUCUACCUUCAUGUUGUUGAUCCUCCAGGUCACACAGGAGGACACACAAAGGAUAGAGGGAAGAUGGUUGGAGGUGUUGCUCUGCAAGUUUUUGUUCUACUUCUUGUUGUUGUUAGCUUUGUGAUUUUACUAGAAUACAAAAAAAGACGAAAGCGCCAAAAGCGACCACGUCGUUUUUGAACAGCAGAUUCAGUAAUGUUAAAACCAUCUAAUCCAAGGAUGUGAAUCUUAUAUUCAAAUGUACACAGUUUCCCCACUAGGGGGAGCCAAGGAAUUAUAAUCAACACAACUGGAAGAAUGCAUAGGAACAAGAGGCAAAAGGAAGGACUGAAGCCAAAGACAGACACAUGUAAAACUAAAUGAGGACGUGGAAACAUAAACAUGAUACAUAAACCAAAAAGUUACGACUGUGGCUUGAACACGUAACUUCCAGAACCAGAACUUAGAAUAAAAACAGAGUCAGGAACUGUGACAAUUACUGUCACAGUUGUUUCCUAUUCUUCUCAACAAUUUUAUUAAAAAUUUUCGCCCACAUUCCUGUUUUAUUUCCAUGUGGGUUAAGUUGUUAUGUAGACCAAGGUCAUUUAAAUUAAUGAAGAUGAGCUAAAUCCUCUGCUCUGUUUGGUGAUUGUUUUAAAGCUUAGUGUGAAUGUUUUUGUGGGUUUUUAUUUGCUGUGUUUGUCAUGUACUUUUGUUUUUGUUUGUAUUUUAUUUAUUGUUUUAUACAAUAAAAUGUUUUACUGUGAGAAGUUUGACUUUCGACAGUGAACAAAGUGAAACAGUGGUGAGAA
ensembl:lncRNA